rnacentral:rRNA from 1 species
UACGUAGGGGGCAAGCGUUGUCCGGAUUUAUUGGGCGUAAAAGGCUUGUAGGUGGCCACGCCAAGUCGGAUGUGAAAUCUCCCGGCUCAACUGGGAGGGGUCAUUCGAUACUGGCGGGCUCGAGGCCGGUAGGGGGAAGUGGAAUUCCCGGUGUAGUGGUGGAAUGCGUAGAUAUCAAGUGGAACACCAGUGGCGAAGGCGAGUCCCUGGACAUUUCCUGACACUGAGGCACGAAAGCUAGGGGAGCAAACAGG